rnacentral:rRNA from 1 species
AUUGAACGCUGGCGGCAUGCUUUACACAUGCAAGUCGAACGGUAACAGGCCGCAAGGUGCUGACGAGUGGCGAACGGGUGAGUAAUGCAUCGGAACGUGCCCAGUCGUGGGGGAUAACGCAGCGAAAGCUGCGCUAAUACCGCAUACGAUCUGUGGAUGAAAGCGGGGGACCGAAAGGCCUCGCGCGAUUGGAGCGGCCGAUGUCAGAUUAGGUAGUUGGUGGGGUAAAGGCCCACCAAGCCAACGAUCUGUAGCUGGUCUGAGAGGACGACCAGCCACACGGGGACUGAGACACGGCCCAGACUCCUACGGGAGGCAGCAGUGGGGAAUUUUGGACAAUGGGCGCAAGCCUGAUUCAGCAAUGCCGCGUGCAGGAAGAAGGUCUUCGGGUUGUAAACUGCUUUUGUACGGAACGAAACGGUCCGGGUUAAUACCCUGGGCUAAUGACGGUACCGUAAGAAUAAGCACCGGCUAACUACGUGCCAGCCGCCGCCGUAACAC